rnacentral:lncRNA from 1 species
GGCAUUAUGUGCCAUAUAACAACAGCAUAAACUUCAUUACUUUUCAGUUUUCAUGAUCUGUAAAUGGCAUAAAAUCCAGACCUUAAUGGCAUAAAACAAUAGAACUACGUUCUAUUAGCAGAAAAAGAACAACAGUACUCAAGUAACUUCUCUGUAGCAUUCAGAAAAAGAAUAAUCAGGGUAUGUACGAAUGCAGGUAACUUGGCUCAACUAUACAAAUAAAUAGAUGGUGGCGAAACAAGCACAGUAUUUUUUUCUUACCACCCAACAUUCUGGAAGAGGAAGCCUUAGAAGAUACCCCUCCGUGUUAAACUGAAAAGGAAAGUUGACCGAUUAGGAUGAUGCCAAUCUUCUUAGGAACAGGACAUUGUGAUGAUGUCAAAAGAAAAAUCAAGUUACACCCUAUGCAAUAAUAAUAGAUUUCUUUUUCUUCUGAGAGUAAUAACAAUAGUUACAAAUGCAAGCAUAACUCAGAUUAAUACUGUUGAUAGUACAAUCAAUAAACACAGUGAAUACUCCACCUAUCCAAUAAUUAAAAAUAUAUAUGUGCCACCAAAACAGUAUAAGCUCCUUUGCAAAGCCAUCGAAAGAAGCUAAACAUAUGUCACAAUAGCAACCAGUAGAAAAUAACAAAUCAACAAGACAAAUGCUUAGAAAUACAACGUAACAGACAGUGAACGGAAAAAAUGGAAGUGAGAAAGAACAAGUGCAUCUGCAUGUAUGUUGCAGUGGGAGGAGAAUGCACCAUGAACCACAACAAGUAAAAGCUCCAAUACAACAAUAGGAAGGGAUAUGUAAUGUUAGAUGGUAACGCCAAAAAGAAUACCAGAUCAUUGGCAGAACAAAAAGAUGAGCAAGACAUGUAGAGGUGCCAAUGUCACAACAAAACUGGAAAGGAGACCUAAUUUUUAUCGCACUUGACAGCAAGUUGCAUGAAGUAUGGCAUGUUUAGGUCACCCAACCCUGAUACAUGAGCACUGGAAGAACUGACAACCAUUUCAAAUUAGAGGUUAUUACUCCGAACAGAGAAACAGAUGACACACUUCAGCAUAUUGUAUUUUGACACCAAUAAAUGUGAUAAACGCAAAGAAAUGCCAACAAGUAAUGCCCCAUGUUAAUAAAUUGUAGAUCCACCUAAAGUAGUAGAAUUUAUAGUACAAUAAUAGGGAAUUGGAGACAUCUUGUACUUGGAAGAGGAUGCAGAUACAGCUAUAUCUAUUUUCAACUCCAUUUAUACCCGAAGGAGCUGUCUAUACUGCCCGCUAGCAUAACUUCUGUUUCCAUUUGACCCUCUAGUGUCUGGACAUCAACUUGUCUGCUCCAAAGCACUAUAACGUAUAUUUCUUAAUAAAUUUUCAUCUGUUGUACCAUAUCUCCAAAC